GAUACGGGCAUAAUGGCUAUUGGAGGAAAACAAAGGACCACUCACAAGGAACACUCUCGCGUCACAGCCUCGCUCACACCACUGAGAAAUAAGACAGAAAACACUCUGGCUUCAUUUCAUUCUUUUUGCAACAUCUGAAUAUGCAUGUUCAAUCUCCUGGUCGGCUGGACACGUAUUCGUGAACUCGUCCCGAGCAUAAGCAUUGUUCAAGUAUCUCCAGAUGCCAGUCAUUUCAGAAGGAAAUUCAAAAUCUCUGUAUCUCUUGGCCACGAUCUGAAAAUCAAGAGGAAAUAAGCAGCAAAUGAAAAACCCACUGAUGUAGGCAAUUAGAUCAGACAACCCGUUCUUCUGAGAUGCUGGGGACCUGCCAGAGUUAUUGUAAAGAACAUUCACCUGAGGGCUCAGCAACAUUGUUAAGGCUUGGAUUUCAAAUUGGUAUCCCUCAAGCACAAGGAAGAGAAAAGAAGGAAGAGAAAUGGGACAAGAGUUGGGAAAGGAAUCCGGAAGGAAGAAAAAAUGCAAGAAGGAAAGGAAAGCCAACCAGGGGCAGCUGGUAGCCUAUAGGAGCAUCAGCCCCACAGAUUAUGUGAUCCUAACUUGCAAGUUUCUAAAUACCAAUUGCAUGUCUUAUUAAAUCACAAGGUCCUUGACUUGG